GGAGGGAUGGCCGAGCGGCCUAUGGCGCCUGUCUUGAAAACAGGUGUGGGUAACACCACCGGGGGUUCGAAUCCCUCUCCCUCCG
rnacentral:tRNA from 1 species